AUUACCAUGUUUAAGUAUUAUAAUUUACAUUUUGCUUCUAUGAUUAUAAAUCAUUGAAAUGAGUGUUCUAGUUAAUUUUAUUUAUAUUAGGUAUCUUUGCUCCUGUACCUUAGGUGGCCUUUGAAAGUAUGUUUGGAAAUUUCUAUAUCUGCCAAAAUAAAAACUGGUGUGUUUUUCACAGUCAUUUCAACAGAGCUUAUUUUAAAGUUUUUCUGAAUUUCAAACUUUCCCCUCAUCCUAUAACUACAAUCCAGUACAUGUGGAACCUCAGUCAGCCAGAAAAAGGAAAAACUAGUGACUAAGAAUCAAGUUAUUUUAUGUUAAGCCACCCAAAGCCAGUAAGAAGACAACUAAAAGAUUUGGAACAUUGUGAGAAGGAAAGAAGAAAUAAAUGGAGUCAGAGAGCAAAUUGGAGAGGCAAGACCAAAGUGAUACCGAUUAGGGAAGAGGAAAAAAAAGUUGUAAAAAUUAAUAGAAGUGGUAAAAAUAAAAUGGAUACUGAUGAAUUGGGAAAAUCUUAGCAAAAUCUGAUGUUUAGCCAGGUUGUGUUAUGUCAGCACAAUCAAGCCUUAAAAUGGUCAGCCCUUUGAUUCUCUUCUUUGUUAAAACUUCUUAAUAUGGAAUAUACCAAUAAAGAUGGAACUAGUUUAUAGAGAA